CAGCACUCUGCUUCUUUGGCUUCUUCUGGAAACAGAAAGAACUGGCUGCACCACCUGUGUUUGGUUUAGUCAGGAAUUUAUAUUUCUGUUCUAGAAGGGAUUCAUUGGAGGCUCAUUUCUUCAGGGGAGUGCUUGUGACUAGAACAGAGCAAGUCUUCAAAACAUGUUGAAAGUCACUUUGAACAGAAGAAUGCCAUGCCAGCUCUAGCAACUCAUGCAAAAAAUUGAGCAAGUCCGGUGAUGCGAGUGGUAUGGAGCUUGCUGGGAUGCAGCCUCAACAGACUAAGAAGAAGGAAGCCCAGAAGCGGCAGGUUGCGAAAUCAUGGUUGAACGAUCGUCUGCGGCAUGAUCCCCAGCAUCACAGAUUAAUCACGGGUUCGUCUACCUGAGGUUUCACACUUUGACUGAACAUGGCCUCUAUCACCCUCUCUGGUAGCAAAAGAGAAUGCGCUUCUAGCCCCUUCUGGGUAUAACAGCAGCAAACCUUCCUUGGAGAUGCUCCUGUAACUACGAGGCAAACCUGAAUAGCCCAAUUUGAAGCUUACUGCUAAAGACAAUGGGUCUUGCUUCCAACAAGCUAAUUUCCUGGAAAUUGCUAUGUGUGUCACAUCAAAGAAAGAAUCUUCAUAAUUAUGGAGAGAAAUGGUGGAGAAGGUAUCCUAAUUUUGGCAAACAACUACUAUACAAAUGAUUUUUUAAAAAAAUGCUUUUUAUGGUAGUCGUAAAGUCCUAAUUACUUAUUUAUCUUCUAUGAAAUAAUUAUGAAAAUUUUAAGUAGCUAGUUAAGUGUUUUGUCCUGUAAUUACUUAAAUCUUAGAUAAUUGUAUGUUUUGAAUUGUACAGCAUUGCUGAGUGGGUGAUUCUCUAUUGUUGGAGGAAAUAACUCCACCAUAUAGAGAAUUACGAUGAUUGUGAGAUCUGAUGUGGGGUAAUUAUCUACAAACAAUCUGUGGAAGCCAGACUUCCUCUCUCUCUCUCUCUACGUUUUAUUCAUUUUUAAAAAGAAAAUGCUAUGAUAUAAAUGGACACUAUUAUUUAAUAAUUAUGCACCCAAUAUUUUAUGUCUCCAAAUUUUAACCUCUUUGUCUACUUGGCUGGCACUUCCAUUUCUCACUAACUUCCUUCGCCAUACACAAGUCUAGCAGAAAUGUCAUGCUUCAGGAAAGACUUUAGUCCUCUGUCCAUGAUUUAUAGUGAGAUGGUUCAGAUGAACACUGUCUCCACUGGCCCUCUACAUCCGAUGAAAAUGGGGGGCAUGCUGAGAAUGUGCCCACCCCAAUGUCAUUAAAAUAUAAGCUGAUGCAUUUUCUGU